GAAAUGCGAUAAGUAGUGUGAAUUGCAGAAUUCAGUUAAUCAUCGAAUCUUUGAACGCACAUUGCGCCCCUCGGUAUUCCGUGGGGCAUGCCUGUUCGAGCGUCAUCUACACCCUCAAGCUCUGCUUGGUGUUGGGCGUCUGUCCCGCCUCCGCGCGCGGACUCGCCCCAAAUGCAUUGGCAGCGGUUCCUUGCCCCCCUCUUUGCGCAGCACAUUGCCAUUCGAGGCGGCGGCGGCCCGCGUCCAACAAGCUCAACCCCCCCGUCUUUGACCUCGGAUCAGGUAGGGAUACCCGCUGAACUUAAGC
rnacentral:misc_RNA from 1 species